CCUAGGCAGACUGCCUACCACGGCUGACGAGCUCCACCUGCCCGGGUUUAUUGUUCGGAGUUUGCUCUCCUAGGCAGACUGCCUACCACGGCUGACGAGCUCCACCUGCCCGGGUUUAUUGUUCGGAGUUUGCUCUCCUAGGUGUAUUACCUAUGACGGCUCACGAGCCCAACCUGCCCGGGUUUAUUGUUCGGAGUUUGCUCUCCUAGGUGUAUUACCUAUGACGGCUCACGAGCCCAACCUGCCCGGGUUUAUUGUUCGGAGUUUGCUCUCCUAGGUGAAUUGCCUACCACGGCUAACGAACCUCACCUGCCCGGGUUUGUAAUCGGAGUUUGCUCUCCUAGAUGAAUUGCUUUCGCUAACGACCUCCACCUGCCCGGGUUUGUAAUCGGAGUUUGCUCUCCUAGGUGAACUGCUCACGCUAACGACCUCCACCUGCCCGGUUUUGUAAUCGGAGUUUGCUCUCCUAGAUGAACUGCUUUCGCUAACGACC